rnacentral:rRNA from 1 species
AGAGUUUGAUCCUGGCUCAGGACGAACGCUGGCGGCGUGCUUAACACAUGCAAGUCGAACGGAAAGGCCCUUCGGGGUACUCGAGUGGCGAACGGGUGAGUAACACGUGGGUGAUCUGCCCUGCACUUUGGGAUAAGCCUGGGAAACUGGGUCUAAUACCGAAUAUGACCAUGCACUUCCUGGUGUGUGGUGGAAAGCUUUUGCGGUGUGGGAUGGGCCCGCGGCCUAUCAGCUUGUUGGUGGGGUAAUGGCCUACCAAGGCGACGACGGGUAGCCAGCCUGAGAGGGUGACCGGCCACACUGGGACUGAGAUACGGCCCAGACUCCUACGGGAGGCAGCAGUGGGGAAUAUUGCACAAUGGGCGCAAGCCUGAUGCAGCGACGCCGCGUGAGGGAUGACGGCCUUCGGGUUGUAAACCUCUUUCAGCACAGACGAAGCGCAAGUGACGGUAUGUGCAGAAGAAGGACCGGCCAACUACGUGCCAGCAGCCGCGGUAAUACGUAGGGUCCGAGCGUUGUCCGGAAUUACUGGGCGUAAAGAGCUCGUAGGUGGUUUGUCGCGUUGUUCGUGAAAACUCACAGCUUAACUGUGGGCGUGCGGGCGAUACGGGCAGACUUGAGUACUGCAGGGGAGACUGGAAUUCCUGGUGUAGCGGUGGAAUGCGCAGAUAUCAGGAGGAACACCGGUGGCGAAGGCGGGUCUCCGGGCAGUAACUGACGCUGAGGAGCGAAAGCGUGGGGAGCGAACAGGAUUAGAUACCCUGGUAGUCC